AAUUUAUUAUGUUCUACAUUUAAGAGCUAUAUAUAUGUAUUACAUGACAAAUGAGGAAGCUUGUUCUCGCUCCCCCCACUUUCAAUUUGAGCUUUGUUGUAUGACAUUAGAGAAUAUGCAUCAGUCUAGUAUCUUAAAAUGGCUUGAUUCUAGCCUUUCAAUACCCUAUCAAAGAUUAAAAAUUUUGUUGAUUAAUUUGCAUACUCUUUAGCUUGGGCAAGGAUGAGCCUAAUUUGAGUUGAAUUUGGGCAACCUAAAUAAAAGAUGUCCAUAUUACUG
rnacentral:lncRNA from 1 species